CUUGGCUUAUAAGCGUCUCAAUUGACCCAAGCGUUUUCGCGGCACAUACAUAAGUGAAACAAAAAGUUAUAAAAAUGAGUGAAAAAGAAUGUGAAGAGGAUCCACUAUAUCAACUUUUAAAAAAGAUAGAAAUUGAGGAAGUGCAUACAUUUCUAACAGCUGCUAAAGUAAACAUCGAGCAGCUAAAAUACAUGAACGCCGAUGACAUUAAGGAGGCAGUGCCUCCAUUAGGUCUGCGCAUAGGGUUUAGACAAAAACUCUUCAGAUGGAAGGAGUCUGAGGGUGGAGAUGAAGACCGAAUUGCGCCACUACCCUCUUUUGUCAGACGUCAAGGCUCCCCUAAAGUUCAUUUUGAAUAAAAGUUUGCACUCCUUACUUAAUGAGUCUCGAAAGGGCAUGAAGAUUUUGGAACACGAAGAGACUCAUCUUUGUCUUCCCCAAGUGCUUCGGGACGAACUUAUUUCUAUUAUAAUAGAAGAGGCCAUGCUCGAACACAUUACGAUUAGCGUUCCAGAUUUCCAAGCCUUGCUAGAGGAAAUAUGUUUUGUUCUCCCAAGCCAGAUAAACGUUAAGGAUUACUAUUUUAUACCUCGAAUGGGUAGAGGCAAUCCUGCAGGAAAACUAUAUUCAAAAUAUAUGAACCGCCGCAGCCGCAUAUUAAAACAGAAGAAAAGGUCUGUAGAACUUGUGAUCUCCGAAGAAGAUGAUGCAGACAUCUGCAAGGCAUACAAGCUCACGCUUAGCCGUACAUGUGACGAUUGAGAGAGUGUACGUGAUAUGUGGAAAAAGACAUACAAAAUACGACAGAAAGACGUCACGGCUCUGAACAACUCUGAUUUUUUUAAAGCUUGGAAUAAAUUUUCCCGUGCAAAGGCGUACGAGCUGAUUGAUAUUGAUUUCGACCUUAUGUAUCCUGGAAAAGGUUUUCAUUUGCUUUCAAAGUGGCAAGAAUUUCGGCAAAAAAUAAUGUGUUAUUACGAAGACAACAUCAUUAAUGAACAUUGCAAAGCCCAACUCUUGCUUGUUAAAAACUGCACCAACAUAGAUGCCCAGGACUUCAUAAUCGCCACAUUGCUGAAUGCUGUUUUGCCCUCAUCAGCCCGCUUCAGAAUGAAGAUGGAAAAUUUACAAGGAAAGCUACAAUACUGGACGCGCAGGAGAGUUUCGUGCUGAGACUAGUAACUAUUAAUGACUUAGAUAUUCAAUUGGACCGAGUCAUAAACAUGUAUUACAGUUCGGGUCUUAAAUUACAUCCUAUUAUUAUUGUAGUUGGUCCUUUCGAUUGUGAGAUCAACGAAUUAUUUUUAUAUUUUGAUGGAAAUUUAAUAAGUGGCCCAAAUGUACAUAUAUAAAAGAUUAUAAGUUGUUUUAGUUAUAAGGAAAAUAUUUUUGUACUAUGUAAUGAAGUAGGUUUAAUUCGAUUUGACAAACAUUUUUAUUCUUAUGAAAUCGGUUAUCCAUCCGAUACAUUUUGCAUUUUAAACAUUAAUGAAAUAACUACUCUUCCUUUGCACUUAUAUACAAUAAACAAUAGAAAAUCGUAUCUUAAAUUUAAAUAUAUAUAGAAACUAUAAACCUGUGAAAUAAAAUUUAAGCCAAAACAAUAGCUUCUUAAGCGUAUAUAGAAAAUGUAAAAUAAAAAUGAAAAAUAAAAUGAAUAUCAAAACAAUAGCUUCCUAAGCGUAUGUAACAACUGUAAAAUAAACAUGUACAAUAAAAUGUAAGACAAAACAAUAACUUCCUAAGCGUAUAAAAAAAUAAAGUUUCUGAAAUUGA